rnacentral:rRNA from 1 species
UUGAGAGUUUGAUCCUGGCUCAGGAUGAACGCUGGCGGCGUGCCUAACACAUGCAAGUUGAGCGAUUUACUUCGGUAAAGAGCGGCGGACGGGUGAGUAACGCGUGGGUAACCUACCCUGUACACACGGAUAACAUACCGAAAGGGAUGCUAAUACGGGAUAAUAUAUUUGAGAGGCAUCUCUUAAAUAUCAAAGGUGAGCCAGUACAGGAUGGACCCGCGUCUGAUUAGCUAGUUGGUACGGUAACGGCUUACCAAGGCGACGAUCAGUAGCCGACCUGAGAGGGUGAUCGGCCACAUUGGAACUGAGACACGGUCCAAACUCCUACGGGAGGCAGCAGUGGGGAAUAUUGCACAAUGGGCGAAAGCCUGAUGCAGCAACGCCGCGUGAGUGAUGAAGGCCUUCGGGUCGUAAAACUCUGUCCUCAAGGAAGAUAA